rnacentral:rRNA from 1 species
UGUAUAUAUAACUACCGAGUCUAUGAAUAAAUUAAAUUUAAAACUCAAAGGACUUGGCGGUGUCUUAGACCAUUUAGGGGAACCUGUCUCGUAAUCGACAGUCCACGUUAUACCUGACCUUUUUUUGUUUGACAGUUUGUAUACCGUUGUCGUCAGGUAACUUUUUAGAAAGUUGAAGUUAGCAAUAUAAAUAGAUUAUUUAAUACGUCAAAUCAAGGUGCAGCUAAUAAAAAGGGGAGGAUGGGUUACAAUUAUUUAUUUAUAAUUACGGAGAUAAAUAUAGAAAUAUUUUAUUUAAGGAGGACUUAAAAGUAAAUUAGUAUAUAUAUAUAAUUUGAAUAAGGCUCUGAGACGUGU